AGUGAACGCUGGCGGUAGACCUAACACAUGCAAGUCGAACGGCAGCACAGUAAGAGCUUGCUCUUACGGGUGGCGAGUGGCGGACGGGUGAGGAAUACAUCGGAAUCUACUUUUUCGUGGGGGAUAACGUAGGGAAACUUACGCUAAUACCGCAUACGACCUACGGGUGAAAUCAGGGGAUCUUCGGACCUUGCGCGAUUGAAUGAGCCGAUGUCGGAUUAGCUAGUUGGCGGGGUAAAGGCCCACCAAGGCGACGAUCCGUAGCUGGUCUGAGAGGAUGAUCAGCCACACUGGAACUGAGACACGGUCCAGACUCCUACGGGAGGCAGCAGUGGGGAAUAUUGGACAAUGGGCGCAAGCCUGAUCCAGCCAUACCGCGUGGGUGAAGAAGGCCUUCGGGUUGUAAAGCCCUUUUGUUGGGAAAGAAAAGCAGCAGGUUAAUACCCCGCUGUUCUGACGGUACCCAAAGAAUAAGCACCGGCUAACUUCGUG
rnacentral:rRNA from 1 species